GACGAACGCUGGCGGCACGCCUAACACAUGCAAGUCGAACGGACUUAAAAGAGCUUGCUUUUUUAAGUUAGUGGCGGACGGGUGAGUAACACGUGAGCAACCUGCCUCUGAGAGGGGGAUAGCUUCUGGAAACGGAUGGUAAUACCCCAUAAAAUAUAAAUAUCGCAUGAUAGAUAUAUCAAAGAAAUUCGCUCAGAGAUGGGCUCGCGUCUGAUUAGAUAGUUGGUGAGGUAACGGCUCACCAAGUCGACGAUCAGUAACCGGACUGAGAGGUUGAACGGCCACAUUGGGACUGAGACACGGCCCAGACUCCUACGGGAGGCAGCAGUGGGGAAUAUUGCACAAUGGAGGGAACUCUGAUGCAGCGAUGCCGCGUGGAGGAAGAAGGUUUUCGGAUUGUAAACUCCUUUUAUCAGGGACGAUAAUGACGGUACCUGAAGAAAAAGCUCCGGCUAACUACGUG
rnacentral:rRNA from 1 species